AUGCUGGAAACAAGAAACUCAAACAAGGUGGAGGAGAAGAAAGGGAGGGGCGCACUAACCGGCGCAGAGACAGACGACCCACACGUAGAAGAAGUUGAGGUAGGGGAUGCCGGUCUUGCUCUUGUUGAUCUCGUCCAGCCUGCAUCCUGGGCACCCUUCCUUGCAGAGUUUUCUCUCCCUCGCUGCUGCCAGCAAUGGCGCCGCCGAAGACUCGUUUCUCUCGCUGGCGGCCAUUAA
rnacentral:rRNA from 1 species